rnacentral:rRNA from 1 species
GAUGAACGCUGGCGGCAUGCCUAACACAUGCAAGUCGAUCGGUAAGGCUCUUCGGAGUACACGAGAGGCGGACGGCUGAGUAACGCGUAGGAACACACCCUGCAGUGAGGGAUAAGACACCGAAAGGUGUUCUAAUACCGCAUACGGUCUUCGGAUUAAAGCAUUUAUGCGCUGAAGGAGUGGCCUGCGUCAUAUUAGAUAGUUGGUGAGGUAAUGGCUCACCAAGUCGAUGAUGUGUAGCUGGUCUGAGAGGAUGAUCAGCCAGACUGGAACUGAGACACGGUCCAGACACCUACGGGAGGCAGCAGUGAGGAAUAUUUCACAAUGAGCGAAAGCUUGAUGGAGCAAUGCCGCGUGCAGGAUGAAGGCCCUCGGGUUGUAAACUGCUUUUAUAAGAGAAGAUUAUGACGGUAACUGAUGAAUAAGGGACGGCUAACUACGUG